UGAGUGCGUCCUGUAGCGUAGCUUCUGAUUGGGCAGUCCACCGUUUUACUUCCUUCGUGGUCACGUCUUCCCUCUGUAUGCUUUGUUUAUACUGGGGAAUGAGGAAGAUGGCGUUGUGGUCAGACUUCCCAACAGCCGGGUGUGGUAAACAUGCUGGUAAAAGUUUGGCAUGACUUGUCUGAGGUUCGCUUUGUUAAAGUCUCCUGCUACAAUGAGGGCUGCGCCCGGGUCCUUGUUACAAUAACUUUAGCUAUUCUAACUACUGCUAGCUUGAAGGCCUGCGGUACUUAGCCGAUUAAUAGAGGUAGGUUGAUCAUAUUUAAGAUUGAAGCAUUAAUUAAUGGUAGGACUGAUAAAGGUAGGGGUCUAACAGACAUGUUGAUGGUUUGGAGGAAGGAAUUACUGAAGUUAGAUCAGAAGUGUCAGGGUUAGUGCUGUGGUAGGCAGGACGAGGACCCAAUUGCUGGACUCAGAACACAAGAGGGGUAAACUAAGAGAGGAAACAAAAACCUAACACAGGAAACUAGAAACUAAGAUCUAAGAGUGUAGGAAACUAGAACCUGGGAAACUAGAAAUGAGGAGACAAAUGAACAUUAAGACAAAGGAGACUAGAUGUGAAACGUAGAAUACAGAGGAAGAACAGUAACCUAGGGAUUAGAAACUAUUAAAGCACAAGCAGAACCAUGAACAACAAUAAAUCAAAGAAUAUUAAUUAAACCUGAAACAGUGUGUGACAAAAAGAUCAACUGGAGAAAAAAAAUCUAAAUAAAUAUCAAUGGCAUUGAAAGCAGCUGUACAUUAUGUUGUGUCUGUGAGAUUGUUAUGAGUUUUCUCUAAUGCUUAAAAUUUUAUUUGUGAAGCCAUUUCUAGUUAAUGUUAAAAGAAUGGUUCUCUCAAUAGUGUUCUGACUUUUUGUCAGCCUGGCUAGAGUGCUAUUGGCCAUUUAUUUUACAUGAAUUUCUUUCUUCCUAAUUAUGUCCCUUCAUCUAUUUUCUUACCAUAUUAAUUUUACCUUCCUCUGUCUUUUCCUCACUCUUUUAUUGGGACUGCUGUUCCUCAUCCAGCACUUCUUCAUAGCUAAUGUUAGCAACAGCUGCCUCUUGUGAUGGCAAGGGCUUUAUAUUAGUUGUUGUUGGUGCUACUGUUGACUAUGCAGCUGCUAAAGUUACAUGUUUCUGCAUCUGUUUCUAGUUUCUUUCUUUCUCUCAGCUUUUCAGCUUUUCAACCACUUCAACACUACAGUCUGUUGUACAAAGUACACAAGUACAACGGGAAGUUAGGUAAGGAGCCAGUUGUGGUAAGAGAUUUGAUUGGGCAAACCAUUGUCAGUAUUAAGAAUGAAGCCUGUACCCUGUGUAAUUAUAUAUUUGGCCAGAUUUCUAGAAAUAGGACCGGCUCCAUCAAAGUUGGAAUGUUUCUGCUUAAUUAGACCCAGUUUUCACUAGAAAGUUUCUGAAUUAAAAAGCUCACCUUUUUUUUCAGUCCUGGUGUGCUGACUGUAAGCUCGUCUGGAAUCUGGUGCAACUAGGUUCCAGAAGUGUGACUAGCUGGCUGCAUGGAUGAAUUCAUGACUCAUGAGGAUAAUUCACAGUAAAUAAAAUGUUUUCACAGAGACCACGCCUACCACACAGUUAUUGCCAAAUCUGUAGUCAGCUACUCUGACAUCAUGUUUGCAUAAUCAGCACUGCAGGAUAACUAUAUUUGUUCACCCACACUGUGAGCGCCUGCUCUUUGUUUUAACAGAGCUAGCACUCUUUCAUGCUGCAACAGUGGUCAUGUUAAAGCUUACAAGGAGUGUCUCAAAGUCAAACAAGUUCAUUCUUUCACUUCUUUUGAACACUGGAACUCAGAACUCAUUGUAACCAUUUAAAAUUAUAAAACAACUUUUGGAUAGAGGGAGAGCAGGUCAUCUAACAAUUGAAAGGUUGGUAGUUUGAUCUCCAGCUAGGGCAACUACUGAACUCUGAGUGUGCGUGAAUGUAAGAUACCUUGCUUAGACACUUACUAUACAAGUACCAGUCCAGCCAAAAAAAUAGUUUCUAUACAGAUUCAUAGUCAAAGGAGCUUGCAAAGAAAAGCGUCUGGACUUAUUUAAGUUGCUUGAAGACGUUUCACCUCUCAUCCGAGAAGCUUCUUCAGUUCUAAGGUCAAAUGGUGGGGAGUCCCAGAUUUAAACCUAGUGGGAGUAUCCUUCCACAGAGGGACAAAAGGAUCCCCUGAUGAUCCUCUAAUCCCCUGAGCCAAGGUGUGAAACUGGGUGUGGGUCCCAAUCAGGGUUUUGGGUGUGCUCAUUGUGAAACCUGGCCCCACCUUAUCAUGCGAAUUCCUGAGGGCAGAAAUGAAUAUACAGAUUCAUAAAAAGAUCUAAAAACAAAAGAUCAACAAUACAGACGUGAAGAGGAAAAGAAGACGCUCUUUGUUUUUGUGGUCCAACCGGUUCAUGUCUGAGGACAUAUUCAUUCCAGACACACACAUGCUCACACACACAUCUCUGUACAUUUCCUGGUGGAACAGUUAGACGUGGUUACAAUGCUUUGUCUCAGCGUUACGUUUCAAACGUUGGUGCUGCGAUAACAAUCAGCUCAGAGUAAUUUAAUGCUGAUCAGACGAAAGCACGAGGAGUUGAAGUUGAGAAAACAUGAAAAAACAUUCUGCAAGGAGAAACGAGUUAAAGGCUUCAUUAACUGGAGUUCAGUUUAAUGAUGAACAAAGUCAUGCUGGUGCGAGAGUCCAAGGGUCAUUUAAAGGAAAACACACAGGAAGCAGAAGCUCUGAGACCACCACUUUGGUUUCAUUAUGAACAAUAAGUGAAUGCUGUUCUGUUCUAACCCUGCAUCUCUUUGCUUUUCGUGCUGAUUCACCACAGGGUCUAGAAUAAUUUGGAUUUAAUUCUGUGCUCUGAAUGUAAACAGGGCACUUUUAAAGAAGCUCAAAGUGAGUCUGUGCAGAUGCCCAGGUGAUCGGAGGAGGGAGCAGAGGAGGAGGAGGAGGAAGAGGAGGAGUAUAAAAAGCUGCUGCUCUCUUUCAGUCGAGUUUAAAUACACUUAAGUUUCACCUGAUCAGAGCUUCCAUCAACCUGCGGAUUACCGACAUGCUGCAGCGGUCAACUGUGUUGCUGCUCUUUGCGCUUGUUGCUGUUUCACUUGCAGCUCCAGUCCAGAAGAGAAACUCAGAAGAUGAGAGAAUUCUGCCUCUGUUGGAGCACCUGAAUGGUGGCAGGACAAGUGAACCUGUCACAACAGAGCCAGAUGUUCAUGAAAGUGAAGAGCAAACUGAAGGUAACUUUUCUAUUCAUCUUUCUGCUUAGCUGUUUGCUUACCUGUCCGUGUGCUUACCUGUCCUUCGCUUCCUCUCUCUCUCUCUGUGCUUCAGCUCCUUCAGUUGAUGCCACUGGGUCACCAGAUGUCAGCGAUGAAGGUGUUGCCAUGACUGACAGCGAUGAAGCUCCUUCAGUUGAUGCCACUGAGCCACCAGGUGGUUCAGACAUCAGCGAUGAAGCUGAUGUUACAGCUGACAGCAAUGAAGGUGACGUUAAAGAUUCUCCUGAAGAAACUGAAGAGACUGCAGAGUCUGUGCCCGAAAACAGCGCCGACACCAGCACGGAGUCUGAGCCAGCACCUAAUGGUGACAAAGAAGAUGGGGGGGAGGCAUUGAGUGAUGAAGAGCAGGAAGUGAAGGAGAAGGGAGAUGAAACGAGUGAAAAAGAUACCAGUGAGGAGGAGGAGGGGGGGGAGGUGGUGCCUAUCAUAGAAGAGGACAGCAAAGAGGAAACUCCAGCUGAAGAAGACAGCCAAAUGAAUAACAGUGAGAUUGAAGACAUGGUGGAGAUAGAGGAGAAAGAGGCUGAGGAGGAAGAAACAGAAGAGGAGAAUGAGGAGGAGUUCAAAGAAGUGGAGGAGGAGAAGGAGGAAAAAGAGAACGAUAAUCAGGAUGAGCUAGGGGAGGAUAAGCAGGAUGAGCUAGGGGAGGAGAAAGAGGAGGAGGAUGAGCUAGAGGAGGAUAAGGAGGAGGACGAGCCAGAGGAGGAGGAGCUAGAGAAGGAAAAUGAAGAGAAAGAGCAAGAUGGGGAUAAAGAGGAGGAUGAGGCAGAAGAGGAGAAGGAAGAGUUAGAUAAUGAAAAGGAAGAGAAAGAGGAAGAUACGGAUGAGAAGGAGGAGCAGCGGGAGGAACUGGAGGAAGGAAAUGAGGAGGAGCAAGAGAUAAAGGAGGAGGAAGAGGAGGAGGAGGAUUUCAAGGAUGAAUCUGAAAAUGCAGAUACUGAAGAACCUGAUGAAAUUGAUGAUGGUCUGGACUCCACUGAAGCAACACCUGCUGGUGAACUGGACCAAUCAGAUGAUGCCACCCCCGUCACCAAACAGGCUACCAGUUAGAUGCUUCGCCUCUGAGCUGUGGGAGCUCAGCAACUGCAGAGCCAAGCCCACAGCCUCCACAGUGGAAUCCAGCUGCCAUGACUUCAACAACCUAAACUGCAUGAAUUUCAACGUUCAGCCAACUGUUGUUUCCUCUCCCCAUUUUCUAGCAGUGUCUGUUUUAACCUCUGGCUUCUUUGGUUUUCUCAGAUUAAAAAAGGAAAUGUCUUUCACCUGCUGACUGUCUUCUUUUCUGCCAUGUGUCUCUCUUUCCAGCUUCUUGUCUGCAGAAAUAUUAAAUCAGCUGCUGAGCUCAGAUCUGUUUUGUGUGUCUGAUUUCACACAUUAACAUGUACAUAAGUCCCUCUUUAAUUUACAGAGAAUGUUUUUAAGGACGUGAAAAACCAGUCAGUGGUGUAUACAGAGGAACUGCUAAUAAAGUUUGAAUUGUCGAAACCUCAUCGACUCUUUCUUCCAACAGUCAGCAUGCUUCCCUGAACCAGUAAUGACGUGAUUUCAGUCACACAUUUUUAUCAUAAAAUGUGACAUUAUUGUUCAGAAGCUGGAGCAGAACUGAGAUCGGAAAGGACCAACAAGUGUGUGCUUUAUUCAUUAUUUAGAAAAAUAACUGAUGACUGGUGGCUCAUGUGGUAGAGCAGGGUUCAAGG
ensembl:lncRNA